CAGUAGCCGCGGUAAUACGUAGGUGGCAAGCGUUGUCCGGAAUUAUUGGGCGUAAAGGGCUCGCAGGCGGUUUCUUAAGUCUGAUGUGAAAGCCCCCGGCUCAACCGGGGAGGGUCAUUGGAAACUGGGAAACUUGAGUGCAGAAGAGGAGAGUGGAAUUCCACGUGUAGCGGUGAAAUGCGUAGAGAUGUGGAGGAACACCAGUGGCGAAGGCGACUCUCUGGUCUGUAACUGACGCUGAGGAGCGAAAGCGUGGGGAUCGAACAGGAUUAGAUACCCCCGUAGUCCCUGUCUCUUAUAC
rnacentral:rRNA from 1 species